GGCACAGCGCGACUUCCCUGGCCCUCCCCCUGCGGACCAGUGAACCUCGCCCGAGGGCUCAAUAAAGAAGAUUUUUGCCCUCUUUUUCUCACCUCUCAGCCUUAUUGAUCCAUGGUGCCCUUCCAUUGCCUUUCAUUGGUGCCGAAACCCGGGAGGGGACACCUCCUAAGCCCCCCCAGAGGCUCAGGGGGACUCCCCUCCUGGUCGGAUCAGUCCUCUCCCUCAGUCAGGUCAGGCUUCUCCUCCACGGCCAUCUGUCCAUUUCGUCCGGUUACUUGCUGCCAGGUCGCAGUUGCUGCAGCUACUCCAGUCCAAUUCGGCCGACGCUAGAUCAACUGAGAUGCAAAACCCAUGUUCACAUCAUGAGUGAGUCUUCUAACUCGGACAAUGCAAUCAACAAAUUCUAAGACCAAAUUCCGGUGGCACUGGCUCCAAAGGAGAGUGGAAAUAGUCAGCCAAAUCAAACUUGAUCUUUCCUUUCUCAAAACUCCAAUAUUCAGCAAAUAUUUGAGUCUACAACAUACCGUGCCCUGGGAGUUAUAAAGACAUGGCCUUCUUUUUUGGAAGAUCUCUAAUCUUUGAGGUCAUUGGUAGAAGCACCCCCUACACAGGUUAACAUAAUGUCCCCCAGUCACAUGAGGGUACAUUACAUACAGCAUCAUUGGCAUAAGUGACUCUGUCUUAAAACAUGACCCCAUCUUAUACUUCAAAAGGCAUCAUGCCAGCAGGGACCAGAUGUGCACCUAAUCAAGAGAUGGCAUCCAAUCAGAUGGGGGUGUGACCCUUUACUAUCGUCCUCACCACAGGACUCAUGGUCUAUCAAAGAGCAAGACCUCACCAGCUCAACACAGCCACCUCCAUACACAUCUUACUGUCACUUGUGAUCAGCACCAAAGGAAGUGUCCACCUGAAGGACUCUCCCUUGAGGACUGUCAGGAUCCACCCAAGAGGUGCUCUUUGUCCACACCACGUUCCUUUUACUGCUCCUGAGUGUGGAAGGAGGUGAACAGGGAAAAGCAGAGAGGACAAAAGUCACAUCCCCUCCCCACAGACCCAUACUGGGGAAGGGUGGAAGAUUUAGCUGCGAGUCAAGUUCAGAAUUUUGAUUAACAUCUUGGCAUGCACAUUCGAAUUUCAGAAUCAAGACUGUUGGCCAUAAAAAAUGACUAUAGCCUUGUGUAUUACCUGAACUGAGCAGUAAAAAAAAA
rnacentral:lncRNA from 1 species